rnacentral:lncRNA from 1 species
UUUCAUAAAUUAAUUUUCAUCUACAAAAUUCACCAUACCACUUUUCAUCAACACACACAAAAUUCAAUAUUCAAUACACAAACAAACCCUUUCAAUUCAAUUAAUCAGUCCAUGGUUUCUUCACAAUUAUUCUCAGCAUCUAAUUUAUGUUCUUCUUCUUUAAGAACUGUUAAUGCUGCUAUUCAUCUUCCUAAACUUCCACGACUCCCUAAUUUCUCAAUUCCUCAAUUACCAAACACAAGACAAAUCAUUGAAGAUUUUAAUGUUUCCAUUGAUCAUAACUCAAUCAAAUUAGAACAAAAGAUUAAUAAUAAUGACAUAUCCAACAAUAUUAANNNN